rnacentral:rRNA from 1 species
AGAGUUUGAUCCUGGCUCAAGAUGAACGUUGGCGGUGUGCCUAAUACAUGCAAGUCGAACGGUGACUAUUUUGUAGCAAUACGAAUGAAAUCAUAGUGGCGAACGGGUGAGUAACGCGUUGGUGAUCUGCCUCGAAGUGUGGAAUAACUUCCCGAAAGGGUAGCUAAUACCGCAUACUCUCUCAAGGUUUAAAAAAUUGAGAGUAAAGGAUUUAUUCGCUUCGAGAGGAGCCUGCGUCCCAUCAGCUAGUUGGUAGGGUAAUAGCCUACCAAGGCAAUGACGGGUAGGGGACCUGAGAGGGUGGCCCCCCACAAUGGAACUGAAACACGGUCCAUACACCUACGGGUGGCAGCAGUAGGGAAUAUUAGAAAUGGGCGAAAGCCUGAUCUAGCAACACCGCGUGUGCGAUGAAGGCCUUCGGGUUGUAAAGCACUUUUUGGAGGGAAUAGGAAGGAAGGUACCUCCAGAAUAAGUCUCGGCUAACUACGUGCCAGCAGCCGCGGUAACACGUAGGAGGCAAACGUUAUCCGGAUUCACUGGGCGUAAAGCGCGUGUAGGUGGUUCUGUAAGUAGGGCGUGAAAGCUCCCGGCUCAACUGGGAGAGGCCGUACUAAACUGCAGAGCUAGAGGAUGGUAGAGGGAGGUGGAAUUCCAGGUGUAGUGGUGAAAUGCGCAGAUAUCUGGAGGAACACCAGUGGCGAAGGCGGCCUCCUGGACCAUUCCUGACACUCAGACGCGAAAGCUAGGGUAGCAAACGGAAUUAGAGACUCCGGUAGUCCUAGCCCUAAACGACGCAGAAUAGGCGUCGGCGGUUAAUCACCGUCGGUGUUCAAGCUAACGCGAUAAGUCUGCCGCCUGAGGACUACGGCGCAAAGGCUAAAACUCAAAGGAAUUGACGGGUCCCCGCACAAGCAGCGGAGCGUGUGGUUUAAUUCGAUGCUCCGCGAAGAACCUUACCUGGGUUUGACAUAACAGUGGUAGAGAAGUGAAAACGGAUCGACCCUUCGGGGAGCUGUUACAGGUGUUGCAUGCCUGUCGUCAGCUCGUGUCGUGAGAUGUUCGGUUAAGUCCGCUAACGAGCGCAACCCGCGCUGUGUGUUACAAGUGUCACACAGUACCGCCGGUAUUAAGUCGGAGGAAGGUGCGGAUGACGUCAAGUCAGCAUGACCUUUAUAUCCAGGGCUACACACACGCUACAAUGGUCAGAACAAUAGGUUGCCAAGCCGCAAGGCGGAGCCAAUCCUCCAAAUCUGGCCUCAGUUCAGAUUGCAGGCUGCAACUCGCCUGCAUGAAGUCGGAGUUGCUAGUAACCGCAGGUCAGCAUACUGCGGUGAAUACGUUCCCGGGGAUUGUACACACCGCCCGUCA